CCGUCCGGGGGAUGAUGUAUUACUACAAGGCGCUCAAGAUGCUGGUCUUCCUGGAUUCUGCGUCGGAGAUGGACGU